rnacentral:rRNA from 1 species
UACGUAGGGUGCGAGCGUUGUCCGGAAUUACUGGGCGUAAAGAGCUCGUAGGUGGUUUGUCGCGUUGUUCGUGAAAACUCACAGCUUAACUGUGGGCGUGCGGGCGAUACGGGCAGACUGGAGUACUGCAGGGGAGACUGGAAUUCCUGGUGUAGCGGUGGAAUGCGCAGAUAUCAGGAGGAACACCAGUGGCGAAGGCGACUACCUGGCCUGUUCUUGACGCUGAGGCGCGAAAGCUAGGGGAGCAAACGGG